AGAUUGAACGCUGGCGGCAUGCCUAACACAUGCAAGUCGAACGGGAGUAGCAAUACUCUAGUGGCGGACGGGUGAGGAAUACGUAGGAAUUUGCCCUUAAGUGGGGGAUAACCCGGGGAAACCCGGAUUAAUACCGCAUGACCUCGAAGAGCAAAGUGGGGGAUCGCAAGACCUCACGCUUUUGGAGAAGCCUACGACGGAUUAGCUAGUUGGUGAGGUAAUGGCUCACCAAGGCGACGAUCCGUAACUGGUCUGAGAGGAUGAUCAGUCACACCGGACUGAGACCACGGUACCGGACUCCUACGGGAGGCGAGCGAGUAGGGGUAAUAGUUGGAACGAAUGGGCCGACGAAGGCCCUAGGACUUACCCAGG
rnacentral:rRNA from 1 species